rnacentral:tRNA from 1 species
GCCCGGUUAGCCCAGUUGGUUAGAGCGCUUCCUUGACAUGGAAGAGGUCAGAGGUUCGAGUCCCCUACCGGGCACCA